rnacentral:ncRNA from 23 species
UCCCUGGUGUCGCCGCUGGCGAUGAAAAGGGAAAGCGGUGGAAAUCCGCUACAGGUCCGCUACUGUGACCGGAUACCGCCGAAGGUGAAUGGAAACGUCACUGUCCCUGUGAAGGGGAUGGGAAGGCUCCCUUCGGUGGGCUGGAUGCCGGAAGUCAGGAAACCUGCCAGGUGAGGGGGGGAGCGG